UCUCCAGCGCAAACCUCACGCAG
rnacentral:miRNA from 1 species